rnacentral:rRNA from 1 species
UACGUAGGGUGCAAGCGUUGUCCGGAUUUAUUGGGCGUAAAGAGCUCGUAGGCGGCUCAGAAAGUCGGGUGUGAAACCUCCAGGCUCAACCUGGAGACGCCACCUGAUACUGCUGUGGCUAGAGUCCGGUAGGGGAGCACGGAAUUCCCGGUGUAGCGGUGAAAUGCUUAGAUAUCGGGAGGAACACCAGUGGCGAAGGCGGUGCUCUGGGCCGGAACUGACGCUGAGGAGCGAAAGCGUGGGUAGCAAACAGG